rnacentral:rRNA from 1 species
GACGAACGCUGGCGGCGUGCUUAACACAUGCAAGUCGAACGGCAAGGCCCUGCUUUUGUGGUGUGCUCGAUUGGCGAACGGGUGAGUAACACGUGAGUAACCUGCCCUUGACUUUGGUAUAAGUUCACGAAACUGGGGCUAAUCUCGGAUAGGAUCUCCUGCUGCAUUGUGGGGGUUGGAAAGUCUCGGCGGUAGCGGAUGGACUCGCGGCUGAUCAGCUAGUUGGUGGGCUAGGGGAUUACCCACGCUGUGACGGAUAGCCGGCAUGAGAGGGUGACCGGGCUCAAUGGGACUGAGGGACGGACCAGACUCGAACGGGAGGCAGUAGUGGGGAACAUGGCACAAUGGGCCGACGCCGGAGGCGGCAGCGCCGCGUGCGGAAAGACCGCUUUUGGGGUAAAAACCGCUUCCGCCUGUGACGAAGCGUUAGUGACGGUAAUCGGUAAAGAAGCACCGGCUAACUACGUG